CCUACUGAAUAGAAAUUGAAACCAAACAAAAUAAAACAAGCAAAUUCUCCUCCAAGUGUGAGCACCACAGAUGAACUUUUUUCUUGUGAUCUUCCAUUUUGCAGGAUGUUGCCACCGACACUGAAGUCUGUCAACUGACUAUCGUUUGGAGUCAGCUGAACGGCUUAUACCACAUACAGGGGAAAAGCAUAAAUGUGUGUUUGACUUCCAUGAAAUUAAUGAUAGAUGAGCUACUAAAGAGAGAGCAAGAAGAAAAGCGAGAGCUGAGAAAAUAAUAAUUUAAAUAUUAUGAGCAAGUCUCUUUACUGCUCACGUGACCUACAAUAGUGUUGUCCAGGAGGAAGAAAAUGAAUCCCUGGAGUGUGUACUACACCCGUCUUUAUCAUCUCAAAUCUCAUCUCACAGACAGUGAACUCAUCUUUGUUGUCAGCAUCAGUCAUCAUGGUGGUCAGCGUUGUUACUAUCAGAGCUGGGCAAGAAUACCCAGGAUGCAUGUCAAGCAAGAAGUGGAGAGAAGAAGUGAUGUCCCACUUUCUCAGAUGGGGCACUUUCUCAGAGAAAGCUUCCAAAGGUUAACAAGUAAGAGUACAAUUUUUAAAGAUUGCAUCCCACUCCGAGAGUUUGGACAGAUCACUUGAAUAUAUUGGGCUCCAAGUAGAGAUAUCCCCUUCCCCCAAGAGAGGCACAGAAAGUGUAAACUCUUUCUUGUGAUCAGGCCAAUUGCCAAAUGUUUGUGAGGGUAGGAAACCCAAGUCAUCCAACAAUCAAGCAGAGAGUCAAUUGUAAUAGAUACAGUGAAAUAUGAUAUGUUAUAAUUAUGACAAGAGGCACUGCAAGAUCCCAACCUACGUGAAUUAUCAGUCUUGCUACUUACCAGAGCACUAAUAAUACACACAUAUUAAUAUAGUUCUUGUUCCAGGGACAUGGUAGAUUGAGCUAACUAAUGCGUAAUGUUCUCUUAAUGCAGUUAUAUAGAAAUGCUGAAUGAAGUAGAAUUCAAAACUUUUAUAUCACAGCAGAGCCCAGAAAAGAAAAAAUGCCACAUGCCAGGAAUGAAGAGUGAACCCCGUCAGACCUGUGCAUAGCUGAUUGACUGCUUUCCUAAGAGCCUUGAUGCAGAGACCCAGGCUCUCUGUGCCUUACAGUUCUAUCAUCUUUACCAUGUAAUCUUCAAAGUCACUGUGCUUAUUUUCAUUAAGCUGAUGAAGGAUAAGAGCACAGAAGAUGGCUUGUUGGAAAGUUUUAUGGAUCAGACCUACAAACAGCCUAUAGUACUUCCGUUAAACUUCUGGUGAACUUUCUUCACAGUGGCUGGGAAUGUAGGCUAGAUUGUACCAGGAGGAGGAGGAGGAGGAGGAACUUUGUUCGGAGAUUAUCGUAUUGUAUAAUGCAAUACAAGAACCUUAUAAUGUAAUGUUAUUGUAAGCUAAGUAACCUUACCUUCUAACAUUCUGGAUAAAUAUAAGUUGGAAAAAAAGGCACAAACUCUGAGUCUCAGUUGCUUACAUUUUGAUGAAGAACAGAUUGAGAAACUUUUAAAUAAAAUAAUAGCUGAAAGUCUUUGUCUCUAGGUACAUUCUCUUUUUACAUUAUGCUCAUAGCUGUAAUGGAUUCCAUCUCUUCCAACAGUUGAAGCUUGAUACCCAAUUGCAUAGCAAAGGAGGAUGCUUUACUUUUCCGUUAAUGGCUAAUAAGUAUAUUUCUGGAUUCAGGAAAACAUGUUUUCCUUUCGCUACUCAAAAUUGGUGUGUAUUUGUUGCCUUCCUUAGAAAGCUAUGAGUGCAUAUAAUACAGGAGGUUGAAAUAUCUGCAUGUUUUAGAGAUAACUGAGUUCAAGUGCCAAGGCCAAAUUAUAGAUGUAUUCAAUCAGAUGAAAACAUUAGUUUUUGUAUUUCUGAGCAUAUUUGCUUUGUAGUCAUUCAAGUAAGGGAAAAGGAAAUGGCAACCCACUCCAGUAUUCUUGCCUGGAGAAUCCCAGGGCCGGGGGAGCCUGGUGGGCUGCCGUCUAUGGGGUCGCACAGAGUUGGACACGAGUGAAAUGACUUAGCAGCAGCAGCAGCAGUAUUCAGAUAAGAAUUUAGUUUUGCACAUAGCUUGAUUUCUUUGUUUGCUCUCACAGCCAAACCCGACUCCACUUACUAGUCUCUGCUGCAGCUUGCUGUAAGUGGCUACCUGUGUAGUAUUACAGGUAUUCCAAGUACAGCUUGGUGGAAUCCGUAAGAGGAUGGGUAAGUAUUGUCUUUGGCCUGCCACAGGCAGGUGGUUUAAGAGCUAGCGCAUUUCAGUCCUCUUUAAUUGUGCCUAGAUUUGUUAUUAGAGUGGGACAAAGCCUAGGAAACUAGAAAUCAUAUUGGAAAGGUUUGAGAUACCGAGGUAAAGCUGGGGGAGGGGUCAGCAUCUUACAAGUGUUAGUGAUAUACAUGGUCUGAAUCUUCGUACUCUUCUCUUUGUACAUUGGGAGUAAAGCCAUUAGGUGGGGCUGCAGGGUGGCUCAGAUCUGAGAGCAAACACUGACCCCUCGUUCUGCACUCUUGGCUCUCACUCAACCAUCUGAGGAGACUUUGGGAUCCCAGGCAAGGGAACGUCUCAGAGUCUUUCAUGAUUCCAUUCCUGUCUUUGUCAGAAACUUCACAGAGGAUUUUUCUCAAGACCACAGCUGCAGAGGGGUUGUUUCAGGUCAGUGAGAAAGAGGGAUCCACUCCUUGGAGUGAGACUAAAUAAAACUGUAAAGUCAAAAAGGUUGCAGUUUUCACAGCAAUCGCUGAGAAUACUCAGGGCAUACAGGGCCACUGAACCACUGUCAGCAACAUGCGGUGUGGACCUGACCUGGGAUUCCCUUACAGCUGGAGCAAAGAGCAAAAGACCAUGAAGAGCUGUCCUUUCUGACAUCUACAAGUGGGUGUCUGUGAUUCUUCCCUUUGUUUCUAUUUAAAUUUUCAUCAUUUGGCCUUUAUGAAUGGACAGAUGACUCUGAUCCUUGCUUUUAACUUUUUCUGGAGGAACGGGUGAAUAGAUUGCACGUCUUUUCUGCUAAACCUUGAGACAGGUUUAAAACUAACCUUGUGAGAAGAGAACUAGCAGAGCCCUCAGCCAGUGUGAAUCCUCCACUUGGCAUCUGGCCUGGAAACUUCUCUCAACCACACUCUCAGUGCUGUCAAUCCGCAGGCCUUUCCUCCUGAGUUCCGCC
rnacentral:lncRNA from 1 species